AAAGUUUGUUCGAUGCACAGACCAUCCCUAGAGCAAGUGGCAAAGGGUUUGGUGGUUGGUACCCAAGACCCAAGUUUGAAUCCUAGUUGAUUCACAUUUCUAGCUAAGUUUAUUUCUAAAUGAAAUAAACGAAGCGGAUAGCGUGCUACCUAUCUCUCUCAAAAAAAAAAAAAAAAGUUUGUUCGAUGCUCUGAUGCAUCGCACCACACUGCAUUAAGAUGUAAUGCCAAACGAAGUUUUUGACGGUUGUUUAUCAAAUAGCAUUGUACAAAAUAGCAAGACCUAAU
rnacentral:lncRNA from 1 species